GCAUACGUAAAACAUUACUUCCUUCCUUCCACUUGUGCAGCAAAUUAAAACAAGCAACGGUUGUUGCUACAUCUAAAUCUUCUUCUCUUUUGUCCAAUUCGUUCCCCUCUUAAAUGAUUAUUUGUUAAGAAGACUACUUUUUUCCCUUCCUUUGAUUAAUGGCUACCAUGAAAGUUAAACUCAUCAUUUUGUGAAUCUCUGAAUGUGUUUGUGUAAUACGAUAAGCUUAAAGUAACGGUGUCAGAUUACAAGAUUACUUGAUGCUCAAUAGCCAGUUUGGCUCUAUGAGUACGAUCCUUCAUUUUUUAAUGUCUUGGUUUUCAGCUCAAAAUCUUUCAUCGGGCUGAGUAUAUUUGAUCAUUCUGGUUUUCAGCUCAAGAACUAGUCUUAGGUGUAAGAAAAAUUCCAAGUGACGAUCAAGAGUCCCCUACAUAUCAGGUUCAAAACACAGAAAACCCCACAUAAGUUCUUGAUUAAGUCCACUCCAUCAGGUUCAAAAUUCCGAGUGAAGAUCAAGAGUCGCCUGUUGCACGCCGCUUGAUAUCUCUGUCAAGAGUCGUCUUGCAAAUGACAUGAAACACAACCUUGCCCUCCCAGACUUGUGAAGGACAUGUAUAUAUAUCACGAUGUUUUGUAACGUAGAUGGACUGGUAUUUAUGUGAUUGUUUUCUACUCUGGCAUUUCUUUGAUUUUAAAUUCUUGCUUGAUACCCCCAUUCUUGUCCAAUUCUUUCAAUCAUAAAAAAAUAUAUUUACCAAAAUUAAAAUUGCAGAUAAAGCGUUU
rnacentral:lncRNA from 1 species